rnacentral:rRNA from 1 species
GCCUACGGGAGGCAGCAGUAGGGAAUUUUCGUCAAUGGGCGCAAGCCUGAACGAGCGAUGCCGCGUGAGUGAGGAAGGCCUUCGGGUCGUAAAGCUCUGUUGCGGGGGAAAAAAGGCAGCAUCAGGAAAUGGGUGCUGACUGAUGGUGGCCCGCCAGAAAGUCACGGCUAACUACGUGCCAGCAGCCGCGGUAAUACGUAGGUGGCGGGCGUUAUCCGGAAUGAUUGGGCGUAAAGGGCGUGUAGGCGGGAGAGCAAGUCAGACGUGAAAUUCCAGGGCUCAACCCUGGAACUGCGUUUGAAACG